CAGGGCCGUGGUGCUGGCCGCUUCUGAGAGCUGCACGGGGCCUGUGGCACCAUGGGGGGCAAUCCUGCGGGUCGGACCCAAAGCCCUGAGGAGCUGGAUCCCGCCCACUGGCCGUAGUUUGGCCACCCCUAAAUAGAGAAUACUGUGUCCA